rnacentral:tRNA from 1 species
GGGCCCGUUGCCUAGCCAGGAUCAAGGCGCCGGCCUUCGGAGCCGGAGAGCCGGGGUUCAAAUCCCCGCGGGCCCGCCA